AUGUCGUUCAUCAUACACUGUCCUCUUUAUGAGGACUCCCUGGGAAAAUCACUAUCUUGUGUCUCAUCAUUAGGAAGAGUUCUGUGCUUCACUAUUUAACCUUAUGGACACUAAGAUUCUACACAGCUGAUUGUUUUCUCACCGCAUUGGCUACAGGAAAAUCCAGAACCAAAUCUCUGGCACACCUCUAGCAAAUGGAACAGGGCUUACGAGACGCAUUUUGAGUCCUAACUUCACCCUUUGUUACAUCCCACUUUCCCUUCUCCUAUUCCCCCACUUACCUGUUUUUCAUCUUUUUCUGUUUUUUUUUUUUUAUUUCUAUCUUUGAAAGCUGCUUUUAACUGUUUUUGGAACAAAGGAAGUAUUUCAAGCUAUUUUCAUUUACUGACAUCAAUGUUGAACAGCAAAAUCAUUCUUUUAGUGACUUGCACUUUUCAAACACUGUCAAUAUACCAACCAAUGUAAUGUUCUGGUAUACAUAAUUCUAUGCCAAGAUUUAGAUCACGAUUAUCACUAUGAGUAUCGUUAUCAUUACUACAAUAUUUUUAAACUAUAAUAAUAUACUAUUUAUAUAGAUCUUCCUACUAUUUUUCUGGUAAGCCUUCACAUUUGCAAUCUCAUUUGACUUGCACAAUAAUCACACGAGAUAGUUAAGCAGGCAUUAUUACGGCUGUCUUCAUUUCUACAGAUAAGGAAAAUGAGCCUCAGAGACGUUAAGGAGCUUGCCUAUAUAUACAAAGUUGGUAAGUUAAUAAGAUGAGACCAGUUUUUUUCUUCUAAGUCUUGCAUUUUCCCCUACAACUGCAAAAGGUUGACUCUCAUAUACUUCGCUCUUUAAAAUUUUGGCCUAGGACCUGUGACUCAAAUGUUUUAUUUAGUUGAUUUUCUAAGUAGUAUAGACCUGCUAGUCAAAAUUAUACAAUUACUCUUUGGUAAUGGAACCUCUGCAUGAUGAGAACUAGACAGCCAAGACACUGGAAAAUUUUUUAACCAUUAGAAAAUGCAUGAGUAAUUUAUUUCCUCCAUUGGAAUUCAGUGAUGGCAUUAAGAAAACUCAUUCCUGCAACCUAACGAGGAACAUAAAUGCUUUAAUGUGGUCUGCUAAAGUAGUCACACAGAGUAAAACUGCCUCUUGAGUCACUAUAACUAGUAAAACCAUUUAGUAGUAGAAGAUGAAAUUUAGACAAGGCAGGCUAAAGAGAAAAGCUAACUAACUGCUUCUUAAUGAUGAGCUCACGGUACUUCAACCACAUCUAAGGGAAAGAAUCAUGAAGUUCAAACCAUAUUAAUUUCCAAG
rnacentral:lncRNA from 10 species